GCUCUGGUGGCGAGUGGCGAACGGGUGAGUAAUAUAUCGGAACGUACCCUGGAGUGGGGGAUAACGUAGCGAAAGUUACGCUAAUACCGCAUACGAUCUACGGAUGAAAGUGGGGGAUCGCAAGACCUCAUGCUCGUGGAGCGGCCGAUAUCUGAUUAGCUAGUUGGUAGGGUAAAAGCCUACCAAGGCAUCGAUCAGUAGCUGGUCUGAGAGGACGACCAGCCACACCGGAACUGAGACACGGUCCAGACUCCUACGGGAGGCAGCAGUGGGGAAUUUUGGACAAUGGGCGAAAGCCUGAUCCAGCAAUGCCGCGUGAGUGAAGAAGGCCUUCGGGUUGUAAAGCUCUUUUGUCAGGGAAGAAACGGUGAGAGCUAAUAUCUCUUGCUAAUGACGGUACCUGAAGAAUAAGCACCGGCUAACUACGUGCCAGCAGCCGCGGUAAUACGUAGGGUGCAAGCGUUGUCCGGAUUUAUUGGGCGUAAAGCGAGUGCAGGCGGUUCAAUAAGUCUGAUGUGAAAGCCUUCGGCUCAACCGGAGAAUUGCAUCAGAAACUGUUGAACUUGAGUGCAGAAGAGGAGAGUGGAACUCCAUGUGUAGCGGUGGAAUGCGUAGAUAUAUGGAAGAACACCAGUGGCGAAGGCGGCUCUCUGGUCUGCAACUGACGCUGAGGCUCGAAAGCAUGGGUAGCGAACAGGAUUAGAUACCCUGGUAGUCCAUGCCGUAAACGAUGAGUGCUAAGUGUUGGGAGGUUUCCGCCUCUCAGUGCUGCAGCUAACGCAUUAAGCACUCCGCCUGGGGGAGUACGACCGCAAGGUUGAAACUCAAAGGAAUUGACGGGGGCCCGCACAAGCGGUGGAGCAUGUGGUUUAAUUCGAAGCAACGCGAAGAACCUUACCAGGUCUUGACAUCCAGUGCAAACCUAAGAGAUUAGGUGUUCCCUUCGGGGACGCUGAGACAGGUGGUGCAUGGCUGUCGUCAGCUCGUGUCGUGAGAUGUUGGGUUAAGUCCCGCAACGAGCGCAACCCUUGUCAUUAGUUGCCAUCAUUAAGUUGGGCACUCUAAUGAGACUGCCGGUGACAAACCGGAGGAAGGUGGGGAUGACGUCAAGUCAUCAUGCCCCUUAUGACCUGGGCUACACACGUGCUACAAUGGACGACACAACGAGAAGCGAACCUGCGAAGGCAAGCGGAUCUCUUAAAGCCGUUCUCAGUUCGGACUGUAGGCUGCAACUCGCCUACACGAAGCUGGAAUCGCUAGUAAUCGCGGAUCAGCACGCCGCGGUGAAUACGUUCCCGGGCCUUGUACACACCGCCCGUCACACCAUGAGAGUCUGUAACACCCAAAGCCGGUGGGAUAACCUUUAUAGGGGUCAGCCGUCUAAGGUAGGACAGAUGAUUAGGGUGAAGUCGUAACAAGGUAGCCGU
rnacentral:rRNA from 1 species